rnacentral:tRNA from 2 species
GCCGGCAUAGCUCAGUUGGUAGAGCAACCGCCUUGUAAGCGGUAGGUCGUCCGUUCGAGUCGGACUGUCGGCA